GCUUACGGCCACACCGCCUGGUUCACGCCCGAUCUCGUUUGAUCUCGGAAGCUAAGAUAGGGUGGGCCUGGUUAGUACUUGGAUGGGAGACCGCCUGGGAAUACCAGGUGUUGUAAAGA
rnacentral:rRNA from 1 species